rnacentral:rRNA from 1 species
UGAGGAAUAUUGGUCAAUGGGCGCAAGCCUGAACCAGCCAUCCCGCGUGAAGGAAGAAGGCGCUAUGCGUUGUAAACUUCUUUUCCAGGGGGCGAACGUUCCGUACGUGUACGGGAGUGACGGUACCCUGCGAAUAAGCAUCGGCUAACUCCGUGCCAGCAGCCGCGGUAAUACGCAGGAUGCGAGCGUUAUCCGGAUUUAUUGGGUUUAAAGGGUGCGUAGGCGGAUUAAUAAGUCAGUGGUGAAAACCUGGAGCUUAACUGUGGAACUGCCGUUGAUACUGUUAGGCUUGAGUAUGGUAAAGGUAGGCGGAAUGUGUAAUGUAGCGGUGAAAUGCUUAGAUAUUACACAGAACACCGAUUGCGAAGGCAGCUUACUGGGCCGUUACUGACGCUGAUGCACGAAAGCGUGGGGAUCGAACA